AUAUAAACUGUUCAGGAAGGACAGGCAGGGCAGAAAAGCUCUCUUCAUGGAACUCCAGAACUAGAAACUUUUCCAAUCAAUUCAAGAGAAAACCCACCAUUCGCCCAUCUUGGACAAGAUGUCAAACCUGUUCCAGCAUGCUAACACCCUUAUGACUACAUGGGUGGAAACUGAAUGUGCAUUAAUGCACAUAAUACCCCUUGUGGAUCUCCUCAGUUCGUCUUUCUGG